GCCGGGUGCGGUGGCGCGCGCCUGUAAUCCAAGUUACCGGGAGGCUGAGGCUGGCGGAUCGUUUGAGCUCAGGAGUUCUGAGCUGCUGCGGACUAUGCCGAUCGGGUGUCCGCACUAAGUUCGGUAUCGAUAUGGUGCUCCUGGGGGAGCCCGGGACCACCAGGUCGUCUAAGGAGGGGUGCACCGGCCCAGGCCGGAGACGGAGCAGGCCAAAGCCCCCGUGCCGCUCAGUAGUGGGAUCGCGCCUGUGAAUAGACGCUGUAGUGCAGCCUGAGUAAUACAGCGGGACCCAGUCUUUU
ensembl:misc_RNA Metazoa_SRP Metazoan signal recognition particle RNA